CUAACAAGAAAGAUGUAGUGAGAAAGGUAGCAGUUCCUUAAACUACACUUGGUGUUUGAGGAGGAAGAGGACAGAUAUAUACUUGUAUUAGUUAUUAGUUAAGGAAGAUGACGUGGAACAUGGCUCACCUCACUCUUGCAUUUAACCUUCUUGGUAAUUAUAAUAUCGUCUUGUUCAUGGUAUUUCUUGCACUAAUGUAAGUCUCUGACGUUUUUUUUAAUAUGCUUUUAAUUAACCUCUUCUCCCCAUCUUUAUGUGUUUUUGUAGCACCUUUGGGAGUUCUGCGACAAGUGAUUAAAACAAAAAGCGUAGAGUAUAUGCCAAUUCUAUUAUCAGUAGCCCUCACCCUUAGCGCUGUUAUGUGGUUCUUUAAUUUAUGGCCUUCUUCUUGGUGUCUUAAUAGUUAAUACCAUCUUUUACAGAUUCCAAAUGUACUUGGAUUCACGUUUGGUAUAAUUCAAAUGAUAUUAUAUUAUGUGCAUACAAAAACAAAAGCCCGAUUAUCAGUGAAAAAAUGUGUAAUUGUGAAGAGAAAGUCGCAGAUCAAAAACUCCCAGAAUUUAGAGAUCAGAAAAUCAUUGAUGUUGUAAAGCUGAAAAUUUUGUUGCAUGUUGACAUUCGUCCGGUGUCCCCACCAAAUACUCAUAACACUAAUUUUGUGGAUUCUAAACAUCAAGCUCUCCCUGAUGUGACAAAUUGCACAAUUGAGGUUGGAGCAUGAAACGUACACUUGAAUUUUGAUGAAGAGGAAAACCAAAUUAACUAGGUCGAUCACAUCUUCUUAGAUAAAGUGGUUGACAUGGUAUAUGUGAAAUAUAAAACUUGUAAUGAUAGUUUUAUGAAAGGCAAAAGGAUAUCUUUAUGGAAGGGAAUAAUUUCUCUUUUAGGAAGAAUUGAAAGGAAUGGUAGUCUUUCUUUCUAAUUGGAGUGAUAGCUUUAUGGAAGGAUAAUUUUCUUUUUGAAUAAAGAACUGGAACGUUUUACA